AUUUUUGUUUAUUCUUAAAUUAGAUAUAAUUUCUAGAAUAGGCAUGAAUUAAUUUAAUUUUGUGUUUAGACGAGAACUGAGAUAUUUAGAAAAAUAAAAAAAAAAUGUGUUUGGGUGAUUAGGUUGAAAUAGUAGAAAUAAGAGUAAUUAUAAUUGAAAGUAAAAAUAAUUUAUCUAAAUAAUAAGCAUCUAAGCAUUAGUAAAAUAAUAUUUUAAUAAGUUAAUAAAUAAAUUAAUUAAAAUUACUAUAGAGAUGAUGUGUAGUGUCCCUGGGGUUUAGCUGUCCGAGUGACUGUAGUAUCUGUGGCUUGUCGACACGUCUAGAGAGUGUCGGGACGAGUCGGAAUCGUUUUGGUGCGAAAUUGACGCGGAAACGAACUCAGCGCAGUGCGAGUUGGAGUUCUGACCCUGAAAUCUG
rnacentral:lncRNA from 1 species